UUUUUCUUGUUGAAUUUCCUAGCCGUGAUUGGUUACUUUGGGUCCAGAGGAAUGGGUGUCAGCCAACAAAAUCAUCCUUCUGGAGCAAAAUGAUCCCAUCUUCCACCAAGUCUGAGGCCAUGUACUCCUCCAGGACAGUUGGGAUUCAAGAGUCAAAAUCCUGGCCUCAUUCGCUGUAUGGUGAAGCCGUUGACCAAGUCAGAAAUAAUGGCAUGAAAAGAUGGAUUUUCACAGUUGAUGGUACCAAAUUCUAGCACCUCCUGUGUAUUAUGGUCCACAGCCUUCAUCCCAACUCUUUGAAGAAGCUGGGCUCAUACAGGUCAUGUUAUAAGUGAAGAUGAUGCUCUCAGCCCUGUGACUUGGAGGCAGCGUCUCCCAAGAAGCAUAAUCUGCAAUUCCCCUGUCACAGCAUCAGGAGGCAGGGCCAAAUGUUUGCAACAGGAGAGCACUACUCCUGAAUGGACUAUUGAGAAGGCAAGCAUUGAAACAGGAGUUCCAUCUAGUGCUCUCAUCUGUCUGUCUGUCUGUCAUCUGAGUGCACAUGGACAUGUUCUCUUUUGUCCUUCUUCCUUCUGUGGUGGCAGCAAGAAGACAUUCAUCAAAGGGUCAAUUCCCUGAUUGUGGUCUUCAUAGCCCCCUAGAACAGUGGUUCUCAACCUUCCCAAUGCUGCAACCCUUUAAUACAGUUCCUUGCAUUGUGGUGACCCUCAACCAUAAAAUUAUUUUUGUUGCUACUUCAUAGCUUUAACUUUGCUACUGUAAUGAGUCAUAAUGUAAAUAUCUGACAUACAGGAUACCCAAAGGGGUCUCCACCCACAGGUUGAGAACCAUGGCUCUAGAAUCCUUUGGUAGUGCUGCUGCUGAUACUCUCGUACACACUGUGCUAAGGUUUAACCACUAAGCGCCAUUGACACCCGUGAGUUUCUUCAGACUAGCUUUCAGAAUGUAGCCCUAAACUCGCCAUCCUCCUGUCUCUGCUCCUGACUGCCAAGAUUAUGGCUGCCACCACAAAGGUUCCACACAGGCUUCCCUGCUUAUGAAUCACCCGGUCCACAGGAUUCUGCACAGCAACACAUAACAAACUAAGCUCAAGGCAGGAGCAUCUCACACAAUAAGCCUCUGCUUUUGGGUCCACAAUGUGCCCUUUCUCCUGUGGCAACAAAAUGUGAGGGUUUUAGCUCCUUCUAAAUUUUUUCACUUGUAAUCCAGACCACACCAUGUCCCUGGGGGCUGAGCAAGCUGCUCUGUUUCCCAGGAAACCACUGUGAGUCUUGAAGACUUAUUAAGCACUCCACAAACUUGAGGGAGUGUUUUCAUACUGAUGCUGCUAGAGCUAGAGUCCCCAGGGAGGUAGUGAGCUCUCCGUCCCUGCAGGUGUACAAGCCGAAGCCAAGCAAAGAAUUUGGAGAGAGUGCUGCAAACAAGAUUCUAACAUCAGAAAAGAUGAGCUCACCACCCUCCCCCCACCCUCCCCAAACAAACAAAUAUCGGUAGUUCACAGCCAAGUGGGCUGUCUCAGAUUCCCGGAUCUGCUGAGCAGCCUUGGCAUCAGGACUUCGCUUGGACCAAGCUCAGAAGAGGCAUCUAUGCUGUGCUCUUCAGGCCACAACGUGGCUAGCCAUUAGCAUGAUUCACAUGAACAAACUCUUGAAGAAUGAAGGAAGGAUCCUGCCCUAAACCCACCUGCUGUGACAUAUCCAGGAUCCUGAGGAUCCAUCCCAGAGACUUGGAGCAAGCAUCCGGCUUAGCCCACAGUUCCCAUCCUAUCAUCCUUCCUGUGCUGAUGUCAAAUUCAUCCCAGUGCUGACAGGUGAGCAGAGCCAGCAAUGUGGGGAGCAGGUGAAGUUCUGAAUGGAUGUGUGUCAUAGACGUGGAGCAUGGCCAUGUCAAGGACCCAAUGCCUCAAACCCACGAGAAUGACAGAGCCUUUCCCAAUUAGGUUCAGGGAAAUGGUAAAGCCUGUAUGCAGAUGUUGUCAGUGUGUGGGAAAAGUCAACAGCAGCUUCCUCCCCCUGGAUGUUUACAACCUGCGACUGGUCUGCUAUAGAGACCCCCUACCAAGAUUAGCUAAAUCUGUCUUUUCAUUCUGCUCUGUACAGUAAAUUCACUUCCUUGCUCUGCUGUAUAAAUAAAUGCACCGAGUUUCUGGGCAGGUGUGUCAUAUGUCUGUCUUUGUCCUUUCUUCAUCCCCACGCCAGUCAUCCCAGUCUUGAUCACAGGUUAAUUCCUAAAGCCAUAGCAGUCGCAGCAUAGUAGAGUCCUUCUGGACAGAGCUCAUAGCCUAGAGCAAGACAGACAAUGAGGAAGGGAACAAGAGAUUCCCUUGACAGUGCCCUUCCCUUCCAAGGCAUUUCAGAGUUUGUAUUACUGAUCCAGAUCUCUUUACUGCUCCUCAAGGUGGAGUGCAAGUUGCUAUUGCACAGAAGAGAUGAGGAACAGAAAGGAGCUAAGACCAGAUCCUUGAGGUCACCCCCCUUGACCAAAAGGCAACUUCAUUUGUGCCUGGUUUAUCUGGAAGCACUAUCCCCCACCCCAUCCUGCCUCUAUUCACUGGAUCAGCCAUACAGGCAGGCACCUCAGUCUGGAGACCUGCUGCUUUCAGCACUAUCAAAUUAGCUACCAGAAACAACAGUCCCUCCCAAAAACCAGAGUCAAGCUGGGACACCAUGUUGCCAGCUACACAAGGCACCCUCUACAGAUCUUGGCACGGCUAGCUAGUUAGUUAUUCAUCCUCCAAUGAGUAUACAAACCCAGAGUUUCAGGCAUGAGUUUGGGAGCAUGUUCAUCUGGGGAACCUGGAUGAUGAGUCCAGACCUGUCAAGAAAUUUGGAUAUGUCUGCCCACAAAAUGUUCCCGGAUCCUCCCACUUCAUCCCUGUCAGACACAGUAGAGAAUGACAGCAGCUACGAUGUUUCACAGACACAAAGUCCAGGCUGUGUCUGCUGUUAAUAGGAAAUCCCUCGCCUGGUUGCCAGUUCACCUAG